GUGGGGAAAAUUUUUUAAUGGCACUACAUGGAUAAAACCAGAGGAUUCCGAAUAUCUGGCAAAAAUUCAAAAACAAGAGGAGCGAACAUCCUUAAGCUGCAUUUUUAUUCGCGUGUAUUUAUUUUCGCAAAAAUUCGUGCAAAUAAAUACACAGCAAAUAAAGUACAUAAAAAUUAUACAGUAAGUGAAGCAAAUUUCUAUCCUACAGAUUAUUUAUGGUGGAUAGAGAUAGCAAAGAAAUAGGGGCUAUUUCAGGACUUUUCCUGAAUACCUGCAUAUACUUCUAUGCUGGUUUCAUGUUCUUCAAGUAAAGUAUAUAUUUUAUAAAGAUGAAGCUAUGGGAUAAUUUUCAUCUGACUGUUCAGAAAUAAUUGUUAAAUUCCUAUAUAUAAAUGUACAUCAAAACCUAAGGCCUACAAUUAAACACCAUUUGUUUCAAUCGACUACUGACACUAAUUUAAAAAUGCCAGGAACCACCAGGUCAAUCAAUUCAUUUUCUUUAAUAAUUUUGC
rnacentral:lncRNA from 1 species